GACGAUUUACGAAAAUAUUGUUAAAUUGAAACUUAUUUACCAUUUUGCGUCGGCACUAAACUUAUUUACCAAAAUGCUGUCCACGUAGGAUUGGGAAUACGUUUGGGUCUAUUUAAUUUUAAAAAUAACAAACCGCUACUUGAGGUAGCGGUUUUAAUAGCUAAACUGCUAUUCAAAGUAGCGGUUUUAAUAAAUAUUUUACACAACUACAUUAAAAUUAAAACAAAAAAAGAACAGAAGACCACUACCCACAUCACGCACCUCGACAUCAUCACUGGACCACCUCUCCAUCCCCACGAGACCACCACCCACAUCAUGUCGCUGUCGUCAUCUCCAUCCUUCUACACACCAGAGGACGACCCAAUUCACGUCGCCACCACCAAUUGAUGAAUAAAUUGGUUUUCUGAUAUUUACCCCCAAAUUCAUAAGGUUUUGUUUAGAAAUGGAAGAACCUAUUGUAUGUUAUUGGGGCGGAGAAGUUACACAAAGUAAUGGAAAUGUCACGUAUAAAGGUGGUGAGAAGAAAUUUGUUUUUCUCAAAUCUUCCAUGAAUUUCUCAAUGUUUUUGAACAAGCUAUAUGAACUUGUGAAAUGUGAUCCAAAGAAUGUAAAAUUAAAGGUGCAGAUGAAAUAUCCUACUUUUGGUUCAUAUACACUUCUUCCCCUUGAUGACGACAUUUCUUUAAGAGCCAUGUGGGUUGGUAUAUCAAAGUUGUCGGGUUCCACUAUGGAGUUAUAGAUUGACCAAGUUGUCAAGCAGGUAGUAAUGGAGACUAGCUUGGGGUUAUAUCCUAGCUCCAAUUCUAGUAUACCUCUCCAAAUGACUGGAACAAAUUCAGAGGUAGCAGUCUCUUUCACAAGAUUGCUGACUGAUGAUGUUUAUGUUCAACAACAUAUUUCGGAGCUAACUUCUCCCACACCAACUCCUCACACAGGAACGUCCUCCAGAAAUCCCUCUCUAGAUGCACUCGAUUACAUUAAUCUUGAACAAGUUGAUGGCUUUGGAACCAUAGUAGAUAAUUUGGAUAGUGAUGAAGGUGAUGAAGAAGGUGCAUGUGAGGAAAAUGACAUUGUCAUAAAAACAAAUGCUCCUUCACAAUCUUUUAAUGUCAUAGAAGAAAUGGAUCAAACACUUUGUGACUCAUGGAUAACAUGGCUAGGAAACAACACUUAUAAUGGCGAAUUCAGUGUUGGUCAGGAGUUUGACUCCUUACAUCAACUGAAAGAUAUAGUAAAAUCAUACUCCAUCACUAAAAAUCAAUCAUUUCGAGUUGUUGAGUCCGAGCCAUCAAAGUAUGUUGUGGAGUGUAAAAGGAAAAAGACACACAAUUGUCCUUGGAAGCUGCGUGCAAUUAAGGAUCCAAUGUUACCUAUUUUUCGAGUUGUGGAGUAUAAUGGUCCGCAUGCAAAUAAUUGUGUAGGUGACAUUAUCUCCGGUGAUCAUCAAAAUCUCACUUUUGAAUUUGUGUGAAAUAUCAUCUUAGAUCUUGUACGAGUUGAUCCUUCUCUUAAAAUACGUGCUAUUGUACAAGUUAUUAAGGAUCGAACCAAAUUCUCUAUAACUUACAGGAAGGCGUGGCUAGCAAAACAAAAGGCAAUUGCCAUUAUAUUUGGUGAUUGGGAGAAAUCGUAUGAAGAGUUGCCUAGGUACAUGCAAGCUUUACAAGAAGCCAAUGAGGGAACUGUUGUUCAUUGGAGCACAAUAGAGACAUCUAAUCCGUCUAUUUAUGUGUUCAAAAGAGUUUUUUCGGCUUUUAAGCCAUCUAUUGAUUGAUUUCGGCACUGUAGACCUCUAAUCACUAUUGAUGGGACUCACUUAUAUGGGAGGUACAAGGGCACCUUGCUCAUAGCAAUGGCAACUGAUGCAAACUUUCAGCUUUUCCCUCUUACCUUUGCGAUUGUAGAAAAUGAGUCUAUCGAAACUUGGUCAUGGUUCAUGGCAUGUCUUAGGCAAUCAGUCACUCAAAGAAGAGGUUUAUGUGUCAUUUCUGAUCGACAUGCAGGGAUAUUAGAUGCAAUGAAUAAGGAGGGGAGUGGAUGGGAGGAGCCUUUUGCACAUCAUAGGUUUUGCAUUCGACAUCUUGCAUCUAACGUGGGAAAACACUUAAUGGAUGCAUUCUUGUUGCAUGCGGUGAAUGUGGUUUUUUUUUCUUUUUUAUGGUAAUAACUUAGUCAUCAUAAUGUAGAUGACAUGGAAACCAUAUACCGAGGAGGUUCUUGCAUCCUUGCCUGAGAUAUGUCGAUCCGAUCAUAAUGUGAUGCGCACUUUUGCGCCAUUGAUUUGCUUUGAUAUUGUGGAGUACCAUCUGCCAGGACGAGUUAUGCGACAGUUUGGUUUGGAGCAAACGAUCCCUACAACUCUUGACACAAGUGAUAAGUUGCAUAAGGUGGAUAAACGUAAGCGCAACAAAAACUAUGACAUUGUGCAUGAAAAGUAUAUAGAAGAAUGGCAGAAGCGUGAGGAUAGAGUAGUUUCUGGUCAUCCAUUUAGUGGUCGCACAUUAGUACAGUACAUGAAUUGGUAUCGGUGCAUCACUAGGACCAUCAUCACUCCUCCUACACAAAUCCGCCCUUCUACUCAUUACCAACCUGCCUCGACUGAGUUGGUGUUGUCACAUGCAUUAGGUGAUAUAGCCCAAAGGUGCAUGCGAAUUAUUGAGGUUGUUGGUGAUUUGCCUAUGGAGAAAGCAUUACCGUUGACUUUAGAAUCCUUUUUGCACUAUAAAUGCAUAUUGUGCUGACACAUUAACAAGGGUCGAUCAACCUCACCUCCUCCAAGAUAGUGAAGUUCUUCGGUCACCCUCGGCCUCCACACCAUCUAGCUCCUCCUUGAAAAGUGUGUUUCACUCUCAAGCACCCCGCAAACGAAAACAUAGGGAUCUUCGUGGUCGAGGACGUGGACCUUCUUGUCAACUGAGCACAAGUUUUUCACCUUCAGUUUCUUCUCCUGCUUUGACUACUACACCUAUGCUCUCAUCUAGUACUUUGACUACAUCUACACCUCUGCCCUCUUUUACUCCUCGACCCUCUUUGCUUGCAACCACUAGUUCACCCUCGUUCACAUCCAUGUUGCCACAUAAUUAUUCUGGUAUUUCUACUCAUCAAGUAGCCUAUUCUACAGUUGUAUCUCCACCACUAGUUUAUGCUCGACGAACCACUUUUACUACAUCACCCAUUUUGGAAGUGGAUGAGUCAAAUUUUGAAACACCAUGACCAUUACAUCGUAAAAAACGCCAUUAGAGUAGGAGAUGUAAAUUAUUUUGCUUCAUCAGAACUCAUUUUGGUAUAUUUGUAAUACUUGCUUUAAUUAAUUCAAUGUUAUUAUAAAUAUUUUGGUUU